AAAUAGGUGCCCGUACCGCAAACCGACACAGGUAGUCAAGAUGAGAAUUCUAAGGUGAGCGAGCGAACUCUCGUUAAGGAACUCGGCAAAAUGACCCCGUAACUUCGGGAGAAGGGGUGCUCUUUAGGGUUAACGCCCAGAAGAGCCGCAGUGAAUAGGCCCAAGCGACUGUUUAUCAAAAACACAGGUCUCUGCUAAACCGUAAGGUGAUGUAUAGGGGCUGACGCCUGCCCGGUGCUGGAAGGUUAAGAGGAGUGGUUAGCUUCUGCGAAGCUACGAAUCGAAGCCCCAGUAAACGGCGGCCGUAACUAUAACGGUCCUAAGGUAGCGA
rnacentral:rRNA from 1 species